GUGGGGAAUAUUGGACAAUGGGCGAAAGCCUGAUCCAGCCAUGCCGCGUGUGUGAAGAAGGUCUUCGGAUUGUAAAGCACUUUAAGUUGGGAGGAAGGGCAGUAAGUUAAUACCUUGCUGUUUUGACGUUACCGACAGAAUAAGCACCGGCAAACUUCGUGCCAGCAGCCGCGGUAAUACGAAGGGUGCAAGCGUUAAUCGGAAUUACUGGGCGUAAAGCGCGCGUAGGUGGUUCAGCAAGUUGAAGGUGAAAUCCCCGGGCUCAACCUGGGAACUGCCUCCAAAACUACUGAGCUAGAGUACGGUAGAGGGUAGUGGAAUUUCCUGUGUAGCGGUGAAAUGCGUAGAUAUAGGAAGGAACACCAGUGGCGAAGGCGACUACCUGGACUGAUACUGACACUGAGGUGCGAAAGCGUGGGGAGCAAACAGGAUUAGAAACCCGAGUAGUCC
rnacentral:rRNA from 1 species